rnacentral:rRNA from 1 species
UCAAUUAUUUAUAGCCUCUGGCUAUAGGAAAUUGUUAGUGGCAGACGGGUGAGUAAUGCGUAGGAAUCUACCUAGUAGUACGGAAUAGCCAUUAGAAAUGGUGGGUAAUACUGUAUAAUCCCCGAGGGGGAAAGAUUUAUCGCUAUUAGAUGAGCCUACGUUAGAUUAGCUAGUUGGUGAGGUAAUGGCUUACCAAGGCUAUGAUCUAUAGCUGGUCUGAGAGGACGAUCAGCCACACUGGAACUGAGAUACGGUCCAGAUUCCUACGGGAGGCAGCAGUGGGGAAUAUUGGACAAUGGGCGAAAGCCUGAUCCAGCUAUGCCGCGUGAGUGAAGAA